GGUUAAUUCCUUUAACGAGCGAAACUCUUAUUUUUAGUUAAAAACUUUAAAUUACUGAAAAUUUUAAAAACUAGAAUUUUAAAGAUACAGUCAAUGAUAAGUAGAAGGAAGGUAAGAAUUAAGUCAAGUCCCUGUGGCCCUUAUGGAUUGGGCUACACACGUGCUACAACGAAAAUUUCAAUAAGUUUACUUUUAUGGGACACCGUAAGUAAGUCUUUAAAAAUUUUUUUAGUUCAGAUUAUAAGCUGCAACUCGCUUAUAUGAAGGUGGAAUCACUAGUAAUCGCAAAUCAGAACGUUGCGGUGAAUAUGUGCCUUGGUCUUGUACACACCGCCCGUCACAUGCAGAAAGUUAACUUUGCUUGAAG
rnacentral:rRNA from 1 species